rnacentral:tRNA from 2 species
GCAGGGUUGGUGUAGUGGCUAGCACACGUAGCAUAAACGCAAGCUGUUAAGUUUGUAUUCUGCAAUCAAUUUAGCAUAUCAUUUCCAAGAUCGUGACGCAGGUUCGAAUCCUGCACCCUGCU